CGAAUGCAGGUGCCGUUGGCGGGUCUCCUGUUCGGGCGGCGGGUACUGAUCUGUAACAGGGGAGACAUCGCGCAGCAUCCACCCAAACAAGAUUUCUUAAGCUUGGCUGGGCUGGGGGGCUAUCACCCCCGAUAUUAAGCUGCUAGCUGAAGCGAUAGUUACAUUCGGCAAGAUGACUGAGUGAAUCGCUUCCACAUUCACAGCAGAGAACAUGGCCAAACUUGUUUGGAAGGGAAUAGGUAGGAGUGACAACGGAGCAGCAGUGGCUGGAGUUUCUGGGAGCAAUUCGGGAGCUGAGUGAUCGACACAUCCCAAAGAAGAGGAAGCAUUGUAAAGGCAGGAGGACACAACUGUGGAUGAAAUGAGAAGCCAAAGCCAAUAUAAAGUCCAAAGAGAGGGCAAACAAAAGAGCAAAAACUAUUGGGAAUCUUUUAGAAAACAACAAAAAAACGACUAAAAAGAAGUUGGAUGUCCUCGGGGGUGGAAUUAUGAUAUUGUAGUCAUUUAACAGUCUUGGUUGCACCCAACAGUCUGAGGUAUUUAGAGGACCAAAAUACCUGGGGCCUCAGUAUCUCUUGAAAACCAAGGUUCCCUGCACCAGUUACCUUUCAACUUCUAUUUUGGCAGGCACGUACAAUCUCUGCACCAUCAAAAUUUCACUUCUGAAGGCCCCCCACUUACCAAGUACUCCUUUGCCAGAAAACGCCUGUCCCAAACCACACUUGUCAGAUCCUUUCUGAAACCAUUAAAAUUGACAUUUCUCCGAUUUAUAAUCUCAACCCGUGGUCCAGAUCUCUCUUUUUCCAUAUUUACUUCGUAUCUGAUGGCAUUAUGGUCACUAAUUUUUGUCACCAGCCCUGGAUCAUUUCCUAACAGCUUAUUGCACACUUAAACAUGAGGAAUUCUAUGUACUGAUUAAGGGCACAUUUGUCAAACUCUACCCCAUCUAGUCCUUUUACAGUAUGGGAGUCCCAGUCAAUAUAUGGAAAGUUAAAAUCACUCACUGAAUCAACCUUUGUUUCUUGACAUGGUCUGCGAUCUCUCUAUAAAUUUGUUCCUCUAAAUCCCCCAGACUGUUGGGUGCAAACAAGUCUCAAUAAUGGCUACAAUAUCAUAAUUCCCUGUCCUGAGCUCAUCUGGCUUUCCUACGAUGCUUCUUGCAUUGUGAUAUACACAGCUCAGCACAUUCAUCGCUCCAUGCUCAACCAUUUGAUUGCUGGCUGUAUCUGAGGUCUGAACAACAUCUGACUGGUGUCAAGAAAACAAACUCUCCCUCAUUGUCACAAAAACAAAGGAGCUGAUUGUGGACGACAGGAGGAAUGGAGACAGGCUAACCCCUGUUGACAUCAAUGGAUCUGGGGUUGAGAGGGUGAACAGCUUUAAGUUCCUCAGCAUAAACAUCACCGAGGAUCUCACAUGGUCUGUACAUACCGGCUGUGUUGUGAAAACAGCACAGCAGCACCUCUUUCACCUCAGACGGUUGAAGAAGUUUGGGAUGGAGCCCCAAAUCCUAAGAACUUUCUACAGGGACACAACUGAGAGCAUCCUGACUGGCUGCAUCACUGCCUGGUAUGGGAACUGUACUUCCCUUAAUCGCAGGAACCUGCAGAGAGUGGUGCGGACAGCCCAGCUCAUCUGUAGAUGUGAACUUCCCACUAUUCAGGACAUUUACAGAGACAGGUGUGUAAAAAGGGCCCAAAGGAUAUUGGGGACCCAAAUCACCACAACCACAAACUGUUCCUGCUGCUACCAUCCAGGAAACGGUACCACAGCAAAAGGACCAACAGGCUCCGGGACAUCAUCUUCCACCAGGCCAUCAGACUGAUUAAUUCAUGCUGAUACAAUUGCAUUUCUAUGUUAUAUUAACUGUCCUGUGUACAAACUAUUUGUUAUAAAUGACUAUAAAUUACACAUUGCACAUUUAGAUGGAGACAUAACGUAAAGAUUUCUACUCCUCAUGUAUAUGAAGGAUGUAUGUAAUAAAGUCAAUUCAAUUCAAUUCACCCUCCCCACUAUCUGUUCUGUCAGUCUGGCUCCCAUUCCCCCUACAACUUAUUUUAACCACAUCACCCUCUCCCCACACUAGCACUAGCGAGCCUCACCACUGGGAUAUUAGUCCCCUCUUGUUCUGUUCCCCUCACUAACGAAUCCCCUCUCACCCCUUUGACUUUCCUCUGUCAGUGAUCCCCCCAACAGUUUCUAAAGUGGACCCACCUGUUGUUGUGUGGGACGGACACAAGAUUACUCUGCGAUGGCCAUUUCACCUCAUUCCCCUUCCCGACUCUCACCCAGUUUCCCGUGUCCCGCACCUUGGGUGUAACUCACCUCUCUUCAUCUCACAUGGGGGUAGAACAAAGGUGAUUUUCUCAGCAGCUGAUGUAAAAGAUUUUGUUCCCUCGGAGGGAAAUGGAAAUAAAUC